UAAGAAGGAAAACUCAUCCAUCCAUUUUGCCAGCUGGACUGACUCAUCACUUUUCCUGGAGAAGUGUUUAUGGGACAAGGGCAAAUGUGAUAGGAGAGCAUAGGUUUCUCAUAUUGCUCAGAUUUCUACCUGCUCUGCUGAAGAAGGGAGCUGUGGACCAUAAUUUUGUUCAAGACUGUAUAUAAUCACACCACCAGGUGGGCAGCUUGGCAAACCUCUUCAGCAUGGGAUACUUCCAUCAUCACCCAAGUAAAAGAAAGGAAGAGUAGGACAGAGAGGUAAUUGGCCUGUCCUGGGAUCAAAAGCAGGGACACACAAUGUUAAAAUCUCUCUGCUUUUUAAGCAUGGUUCUGAUGAAUGUGAGCACUCCUGCCCUCCAAUGUAUGUCAGCUGUGACACUAAAUAGAGAAAGCAUCUCAGCAUAUCAGGUCCUGAUGUGUAAAUUCUCAUUUGCUGUGAAAGAAUGGCAGGAGAUGAAGUGUGACUCUUGACUGCACACUGUGAUUUGAGCUUCCCUGCAAACUAUGCAUGCUCGCUGAUGUACUGCACUACACUGCACAACUUCAGAUACCAUUCUGAGACACACUACAACAUUGCUACAAGGAAAUUAAUUUAUAGGAGUUAUAUUUUCAGCCAGUUAAAAACUACAGAGAAGCAAAAUCAGGGCAAUUCUA